GGAUCCAGACUUUGAUUCUGGCUCAGGACGAACGCUGGCGGCGCGCCUAACACAUGCAAGUCGAACGAGAGAUGAGGAGCUUGCUCUUCAAAUCGAGUGGCGAACGGGUGAGUAACGCGUGAGGAACCUGCCUCAAAGAGGGGGACAACAGUUGGAAACGACUGCUAAUACCGCAUAAGCCCACGGCUCGGCAUCGAGCAGAGGGAAAAGGAGCAAUCCGCUUUGAGAUGGCCUCGCGUCCGAUUAGCUAGUUGGUGAGGUAACGGCCCACCAAGGCGACGAUCGGUAGCCGGACUGAGAGGUUGAACGGCCACAUUGGGACUGAGACACGGCCCAGACUCCUACGGGAGGCAGCAGUGGGGAAUAUUGCACAAUGGGGGAAACCCUGAUGCAGCGACGCCGCGUGGAGGAAGAAGGUCCUCGGAUUGUAAACUCCUGUUGUUGAGGAAGAUAAUGACGGUACUCAACAAGGAAGUGACGGCUAACUACGUGCCAGCAGCCGCGGUAAAACGUAGGUCACAAGCGUUGUCCGGAAUUACUGGGUGUAAAGGGAGCGCAGGCGGGAGAACAAGUUGGAAGUGAAAUCCAUGGGCUCAACCCAUGAACUGCUUUCAAAACUGUUUUUCUUGAGUAGUGCAGAGGUAGGCGGAAUUCCCGGUGUAGCGGUGGAAUGCGUAGAUAUCGGGAGGAACACCAGUGGCGAAGGCGGCCUACUGGGCACCAACUGACGCUGAGGCUCGAAAGUGUGGGUAGCAAACAGGAUUAGAUACCCUGGUAGUCCACACCGUAAACGAUGAUUACUAGGUGUUGGAGGAUUGACCCCUUCAGUGCCGCAGUUAACACAGUAAGUAAUCCACCUGGGGAGUACGACCGCAAGGU
rnacentral:rRNA from 1 species